UGCUUAACACAUGCAAGCCGAACGGCAGCAUGGCCUGUAGCAAUACAGGCUGAUGGCGAGUGGCGGACGGGUGAGUAACGCGUAGGGAUCUGCCUUGUAGAGGGGGAUAACCCGGGGAAACUCGGGCUAAUACCGCAUAAUACUCUGAGGAGGAAAGCUAGCCCGCAAGGGCCGGCGCUACUAGAGGAACCUGCGUCCGAUUAGUCAGCUGGUGAGGUAAAGGCUCACCAGGGCGACGAUCGGUAGCUGGUCUGAGAGGAUGACCAGCCACACUGGGACUGAGACACGGCCCAGACUCCUACGGGAGGCAGCAGUGGGGAAUAUUGGACAAUGGGGGCAACCCUGAUCCAGCAAUACCGCGUGUGUGAAGAAGGCCUUCGGGUUGUAAAGCAC
rnacentral:rRNA from 1 species